UUCUUUAUCUGGUCUUCUGACUGAAGAAAACACAGGUUGUUUUUAUAUUUUGUUAAAAUCAUCACUCAGCAUAACUCCUUCUGCUUGUAUGAGGAAAAGUGUAAGCCUGCAGUCAGGAUUGGGAUUUCGUCUGCCUUUUUUGCCAGUUUGCCAGAACCUAUAUGUCACAUUUACUUUUACGGGUCACAAAAAUUUUAAGGCCAAGCAUCCUUAUUACAGCCAUUGUGGUACCAAAAUAAUAUAAGCAGGCAGGAUUAGAGAAGCAUUACAGGCAUUUAUACCAGCCACUGGCCUGUUAACUUUCAUCUUAAGAAGAUGGGAAAAACUGAGACGUAAACGGCUUUGUCAGGAGGAAUCAGAAACAUUCACACAUAUCCUUUGUGUAAUGUAAUGCGUUAGCCUGUUUACAGUGCAGGGACUUUGGUAGAAAAUUUCCCAUACCAAAGGAGAUCCAGGAAGAGACACCAAGAAAAGUACUCAGUUUUAUAAGGAAUAGAGCACCUUCCAAGGUAAUUUCUUAAUGCUUUCAUUGCCAUCGACAACUGUACUACCAACCAACAAUUAUACUGCGGAUGUAUUUUUGGCCAAAACCUUUAUCCAAAUAUCUGCAAUGUUGACUUUGCAUGAGCUGAAUUUUUUUAGACCUUCAAGAUACUGAAUUCGAACAUCGGCUCGAAGAUAGUUCUGAAUUGCAUGGCCUAAACACGUUGGGAAUGCACCCUCCGCCGGAUUCCUGGACAGGAAUUGAGGGAAAUGCACAAGGAAUGCCAGGAAAGGACCGCUGACAGAGAUAAUUUUAGAAUACA
rnacentral:lncRNA from 1 species